CCUACGGGAGGCAGCAGUGAGGAAUAUUGGUCAAUGGGCGAGAGCCUGAACCAGCCAAGUCGCGUGAGGGAAGACGGUCCUAUGGAUUGUAAACCUCUUUUGUCGGGGAGCAAAACGGCCUCGUGAGGCCACAAGUGAGAGUACCCGAAGAAAAAGCAUCGGCUAACUCCGUGCCAGCAGCCGCGGUAAUACGGAGGAUGCGAGCGUUAUCCGGAUUUAUUGGGUUUAAGGGGUGCGUAGGCGGGCAUUUAAGCCGGCGGUCAAAUGUCGGGGCUCAACCCCGGCCUGCCGUCGGAACUGGGGGCCUUGAGUGGGCGAGAAGUAUGCGGAAUGCGUGGUGUAGCGGUGAAAUGCAUAGAUAUCACGCAGAACCCCGAUUGCGAAGGCAGCAUACCGGCGCCCGACUGACGCUGAGGCUCGAAAGUGUGGGUAUCAAACAGGAUUAGAUACCCCAGUAGUC
rnacentral:rRNA from 1 species